UUUAGAACUCNNAGAACUUGGCGGUGCUUUAGCCAGCUAGGGGAACCUGUCCUUUAAUUCGAUAGUCCACGAAAAUCUUACCUAUUUUAGUUAUCAGUUUGUAUACCGUCGUCGAAAGCUAGCACCAAGAGGGGUUAGAAGCUAGCAAAAAAGAUUUUUCUCUUAGAAGUCAGAUCAAGGUACAGCUUAUAAGUAGGGAGGAGAUGGGUUACAAUUAAUAAAUUCUAUUGGAGUCCUAAUGAAAUUUAGUUGAUGUAAAGAGGACUUAGAAGUAAU
rnacentral:rRNA from 1 species